CGAUGGGUGCUAGUUGUUAAGAGGUUUCCGCCUCCUAGUGACGUAGCAAACGCAUUAAGCACCCCGCCUGAGGAGUACGGCCGCAAGGCUAAAACUUAAAGGAAUUGACGGGGACCCGCACAAGCGGUGGAGCAUGUGGUUUAAUUCGAAGAUACGCGAAAAACCUUACCAGGUCUUGACAUACCAAUGAUCGCUUUUGUAAUGAAAGCUUUUCUUCGGAACAUUGGAUACAGGUGGUGCAUGGUCGUCGUCAGCUCGUGUCGUGAGAUGUUGGGUUAAGUCCCGCAACGAGCGCAACCCUUGUUAUUAGUUGCCAGCAUUUAGUUGGGCACUCUAAUGAGACUGCCGGUGAUAAACCGGAGGAAGGUGGGGACGACGUCAGAUCAUCAUGCCCCUUAUGACCUGGGCAACACACGUGCUACAAUGGGAAGUACAACGAGUCGCAAACCGGCGACGGUAAGCUAAUCUCUUAAAACUUCUCUCAGUUCGGACUGGAGUCUGCAACUCGACUCCACGAAGGCGGAAUCGCUAGUAAUCGCGAAUCAGCAUGUCGCGGUGAAUACGUUCCCGGGUCUUGUACACACCGCCCGUCAAAUCAUGGGAGUCGGAAGUACCCAAAGUCGCUUGGCUAACUUUUAGAGGCCGGUGCCUAAGGUAAAAUCGAUGACUGGGAUUAAGUCGUAACAAGGUAGCCGUAGGAGAACCUGCGGCUGGAUCACCUCCUUUCUAAGG
rnacentral:rRNA from 1 species